rnacentral:rRNA from 1 species
GACGUAGGGGGCCAGCGUUGCUCGGAAUUGCUGGGCGUAAAGGGUUCGUAGGCGGUGCGGCAAGUUGGGAGUGAAAUCUCUGGGCUUAACCCAGAGGCUGCUUCCAAAACUGCCGUGCUAGAGUGCGAGAGAGGCCAGUGGAAUUGCAGGUGUAGCGGUGAAAUGCGUAGAUAUCGGGAGGAACACCUGUGGCGAAAGCGGCGCACUGGACCAUUACUGACGCUGAUGCACGAAAGCUAGGGGAGCAAACAGG